rnacentral:sRNA from 1 species
ACUGAUCUUCAUUCAAAGGUAUAUGAUAGCUGUGCUCACCUGCUAGAAUCUCCAAACAAAUUCAAGCAGUUUGGGGAGUAAGAUGACUUAGC